GUCCCCUUCGUCUAGUGGCCUAGGACACCGCCCUUUCACGGCGGCAACACGGGUUCGAACCCCGUUGGGGACGCCA
rnacentral:tRNA from 1 species